rnacentral:rRNA from 1 species
UACGAAGGGGGCUAGCGUUGCUCGGAAUCACUGGGCGUAAAGCGCACGUAGGUGGGUCGCUAAGUCGGGGGUGAAAUCCUGGAGCUCAACUCCAGAACUGCCUUCGAUACUGGCGAUCUUUGAGUCCGGGAGAGGUGGGUGGAACUGCGAGUGUAGAGGUGAAAUUCGUAGAUAUUCGCAAGAACACCAGUGGCGAAGGCGGCUCACUGGCCCGAUACUGACGCUGAGGUGCGAAAGCGUGGGGAGCAAACAGG